rnacentral:rRNA from 1 species
GAUGAACGCUAGCGGCGGGCUUAAUACAUGCAAGUCAAGGGGUAGCAAUACACCGGCGUACGGGUGCGUAACGCGUAUGGAACCUGCCCUUAUCUGGGGGAUAACUCGGGGAAACUCGAGCUAAUACCGCAUAAGAUAGUAGAAUGGCAUCCUUCAGCUAUUAAAGAUUUAUCGGAUAAGGAUGGCCAUGCGUAAGAUUAGAUAGUUGGUGGGGUAAAGGCCCACCAAGUCUACGAUCUUUAGGGGCUCUGAGAGGAGAAUCCCCCACACUGGCACUGAGAUACGGGCCAGACUCCUACGGGAGGCAGCAGUAGGGAAUAUUGGGCAAUGGGCGGAAGCCUGACCCAGCCACGCCGCGUGCAGGAAGAAGGCCCUCUGGGUUGUAAACUGCUUUUGAUUGGGAAGAAAGCAUCUCAUGCGUGGGAUUUUGACGGUACCAAUCGAAUAAGCCACGGCUAACUACGUGCCAGCAGCCGCCGUAAAAC